ensembl:lncRNA
GAGGAACUGGAAGGUGUAUUGUGAGACAGAGAGCAGUCAAACACUUUUGUUCAGACAGUGUAUCAGAGAGUACUAUUUUAAUAAAACGUAGUGUUAUUGGAAGCAUUAGGAUAGGAAUCGGGAUAGUGUGUUAAUAUCUCAGUUAUCAGCUGUCGGGGGAGUGUGUCAGGGACUCCUGGGCAUAUUGUCCUGUCAAAAUGGAUAAGGAUCCAUCAGGUCACAGUGGCAGUCCAGCCACACACAGGAAGGGGAAGGGGAUGUUCGGGCUGAAAGUGAAGAAGAGGAAGAAGACAGUCACCACGUCUGAUCUCGUCUUGGCCAAUAAAGCAGCUCUAGGUACGGCCUUGAAAACAAACACUCUGUUGUAAACAGUAAGAGCAGAUUGUGAUUGGAGAUGUCUGCAUACCAAAUGGCUCACUAUUCCCGAUGUAGUGCACUAGUGUCGACCAGGGCCCAUAGGGUAGUGCACUAGUGUCGACCAGGGCCCAUAGGGUAGUGCACUAGUGUCGACCAGGGCCCAUAGGGUAGUGCACUAGUGUCGACCAGGGCCCAUAGGGUAGUGCACUAGUGUCGACCAGGGCCCAUAGGGUAGUGCACUAGUGUCGACCAGGGCCCAUAGGGUAGUGCACUAGUGUCGACCAGGGCCCAUAGGGUAGUGCACUAGUGUCGACCAGGGCCCAUAGGGUAGUGCACUAGUGUCGACCAGGGCCCAUAGGGUAGUGCACUAGUGUCGACCAGGGCCCAUAGGGUAGUGCACUAGUUUCGACCAGGGCCCAUAAGGUAGUGCACUAGUUUCGACCAGGGCCCAUAGGGUAGUGCACUAGUUUCGACCAGGGCCCAUUGGGGUAGUGCACUAGUUUCGACCAGGGCUCAUAGGGUAGUGCACUAGUUUCGGCCAGGGCCCAUUGAGGUAGUGCACUAGUUUCAACCAUACAGUCAGCUCCAGCUGAUCAAAUAGUCAUCUCUGCGUACCAAAUGGCUCACUAUUCCCUAUGUAGUGCACUAGUUUUGACCAGGGCCCAUAGGGUAGUGCACUAGUUUCGACCACACAGUCAUCUCCAGCUGAUCAAACAGUCGUGUGCUUCUGUAUUCGUGGAGUAUUUGCUGUAGGAUUUACUGCAUGUCCUGUAGGAUUAAGGAUACACACGUGAUCAUGUACCCUCCUGAUAUUUAAAACAUCAUGGGGUCACUUACUUUUAAACAUGCAGUGCCAGUUUACCAGAUACAGAUCCAGCUCAGUCUAGUUAUUUUAGAUUGAAUACGUCAUGGCGUGCUGACUUCCGUAGCUGAACUUCUAGCUGGUAUGGCCAGAGGAUGAUGGACCUCCCCCCUCUGAUUCUACUUCCUCUCUCUCCCCCCUCUGAUUCUACUUCCUCUCUCUCUCCCCCCUCUGAUUCUACUUCCUCUCUCUCCCCCCUCUGAUUCUACUUCCGCUCUCUCCCCCCUCUGAUUCUACUUCCUCUCUCUCCCCCCUCUGAUUAUACUUCCUCUCUGUGUUUCGUCCUACUAGGGAAUGUUUCCUUGCCAACGUCCUUUAGUCUUGAUCAAAAAUUGCUUGAUUGAUUUGUGUCGUGCCCUGACAGAUGGUACAGAGCCAGAGGGUAAUGCUGAGGUCACUGGUCU